GUGAGGAAUAUUGCGCAAUGGGGGAAACCCUGACGCAGCGAUGCCGCGUGGGUGAAGAAGGCUUUCGGGUCGUAAAGCCCUGUCAGGUGGGAAGAAUAGUCUCUUGGUGAAUAGUCAGGAGGCGUGACGGUACCACCGAAGGAAGCACCGGCUAACUCCGUGCCAGCAGCCGCGGUAAGACGGAGGGUGCAAGCGUUAUUCGGAAUCAUUGGGCGUAAAGAGCGUGUAGGCGGCCGGUUAAGUCAGGUGUGAAAGCCCGGGGCUCAACCCCGGAAGUGCACUUGAAACUGGUCGGCUUGAGUUCGGGAGAGGGAAGCGGAAUUCCUGGUGUAGAGGUGAAAUUCGUAGAUAUCAGGAGGAACAUCGGUGGCGAAGGCGGCUUCCUGGACCGAAACUGACGCUGAGACGCGAAAGCGUGGGGAGCAAACAGGAUUAGAUACCCUAGUAGUCC
rnacentral:rRNA from 1 species